UCGGCUAGACUUUAUAAACUUAUACUCUAAUUAAUGUUAAUUUAGAGUUAUUCCGGUAUUGAUUUUUAAUUUUAGGGUGAAAUCAGAAAUUAUUUUUAUUUAAACUCUAAAUUUUAAGAUUUAGUAAACAAACCAGAUUAGUACCUGGUUAGAUAAAAUUUAAAAGAGCAGGAGUAAAGUUAUAUUUAAACUGUAAGAAUAUUGGCAGGUUUUUAAAUUAUCUUUGGAGGCUGAGUAGUGAUUGAGAGCCCUCAUUUUCAACUUUUUCUUUAGGCGCAUGUAUGAUCGUUUAUUUUAUUCUUAAGGAUUGUAAUUUUAGUCUUUGCUAUAAAAAUAGAUAGAUAUCUGGCUUAUGAGAAAGAUUUAAUUUGGCCUACAAUAAUUUAAUUUUUGGAUUCUAGUUUUAGAGGCUAGAUGAAAUUGUAAAAGACAGUAAGUUGCUUUUAAUGGGUAGCUGAAGUUUAUUUAAAAACGGUACAAAUCAUCCAUCAAUUGCCUAUAGGGGAGUAAGUUG
rnacentral:ncRNA from 1 species